rnacentral:rRNA from 1 species
AUGAUACGCGAGGAACCUACCUGGGCGUCGAACGUAAGAUGACUGUAGGUGAAAGCUUACAUCUCUUCGGAGCAUUUUACGAGGUGCUGCAUGGUUGUCGUCAGCUCGUGCCGUGAGGUGUCGGGUUAAGUCCCAUAACGAGCGCAACCCCUACCUUUAGUUGCCAUCAGGUAAUGCUGGGGACUCUAAAGGAACUGCCUACGCAAGUAGUGAGGAAGCGGGGAUGACGUCAAAUCAGCACGGCCCUUACGUCCAGGGCUACACACGUGCUACAAUGGCCGAUACAGAGGGCAGCUACCUGGUGACAGGAUGCAAAUCUCCAAAGUCGGUCUCAGUUCGGAUCGGAGUCUGCAACCCGACUCCGUGAAGUUGGAUUCGCUAGUAAUCGCGCAUCAGCCAUGGCGCGGUGAAUACGUUCCCGGGCCUU